GUUAUUUUAAAUGUUCCGGUUAAAGUGUGAACAUGCUUGUUAAUGAAACCAAAGCAAGGCGAAGCCCCAGCAGUCCCACAGUGCCUGAAGUGAUCCUGCAAAACCCAACCUAACGUCUGGUUGGACUCCGAGUAAAGAACCUAUCACAGAGGCUGUGGUUCCAGGCGCAGACUGGAAUCAAGAUGGGCAGGAGAAAUAUCAAGAACCUCAGAUAUGCAGAUGACA